CCUACGGGAGGCAGCAGUGAGGAAUAUUGGUCAAUGGGCGUAAGCCUGAACCAGCCAAGUCGCGUGAGGGAUGAAGGUUCUAUGGAUCGUAAACCUCUUUUAUAAGGGAAUAAAGUGUGGGACGUGUCCUGUUUUGUAUGUACCUUAUGAAUAAGGACCGGCUAACUCCGUGCCAGCAGCCGCGGUAAUACGGAGAAUCCGAGCGUUAUCCGGAUUUAUUGGGUUUAAGGGGUGCGUAGGCGGCCUUUUAAGUCAGCGGUGAAAGUCUGUGGCUCAACCAUAGAAUUGCCGUUGAAACUGGGGUGCUGGAGUGUGUUUGAGGCAGGCGGAAUGCGUGGUGUAGCGGUGAAAUGCUUAGAUAUCACGCAGAACCCCGAUUGCGAAGGCAGCCUGCCAAGCCAUGACUGACGCUGAUGCACGAAAGCGUGGGGAUCAAACAGGAUUAGAUACCCGAGUAGUC
rnacentral:rRNA from 1 species